GCCUGCAUAGAUCAAUGGUAGAUCAUCUCUCCCAGUUAUGAGUUAUGUCGCUUAUGUUUCACUUGGACACGAGAGGACGGAGGUUCGAAUCCUCCUGUGGGCA